UGUUUUCUCUUCCAAGAACAUUGUCAUUGCUUUUUUAUGCUAACAGAUAACGUGUCAUGAAGAGUUUAAUAACAGUCUUUAUACUGAUGAACAUCUUCUUUGCUGCUGAGCCCCAAAAGAUUCUGACCCAGCCCGUUUCAGAAAUUAAACUCCCUGGAGAGACUUUGACUUUAAUCUGCAAAGGAGUCUCAUCUUUUCAUCAGAGCUGGAUUCAGUGGACGUACAGAAUUGACAACAAAGGAUUGAAAUGGAUAGGAGAGCUCAAUGAGGAUGGCAGUAGAUCAAAUGUGCGCCAGGCUCUGAGAGACCAAUUUUCCAUCUCCAGGGAUAAUUCACUGGACACAGCUUCCUUACAGAUAAGGCAACUGAAAGUUGGAGACAGCGGUCUCUAUUACUGCAGUGCUCACAGUGAAAUAGAAUAA